rnacentral:rRNA from 1 species
UACGGGGGGGGCAAGCGUUGUUCGGAAUUAUUGGGCGUAAAGAGCUCGUAGGCGGUCUGUCGCGUCGAUCGUGAAAACUUGGGGCUUAACCCUGAGCUUGCGGUCGAUACGGGCAUGACUGGAGUUCGGCAGGGGAGACUGGAAUUCCUGGUGUAGCGGUGAAAUGCGUAGAUAUCGGAAGGAACAUCAGUGGCGAAAGCGACUUCCUGGACCAAUACUGACGCUCAUGUGCGAAAGCGUGGGGAGCAAACAGG